GAAAUGCGAUAAGUAAUGUGAAUUGCAGAAUUCAGUGAAUCAUCGAAUCUUUGAACGCACAUUGCGCCCGCCAGUAUUCUGGCGGGCAUGCCUGUUCGAGCGUCAUUUCAACCAUCAAGCCCCCGGCUUGUGUUGGGGACCUGCGGCUGCCCGCAGGCCCUGAAAAACAGUGGCGGGCUCGCUGUCACACCGAGCGUAUUAGCAUACAUUCUCGCUCAGGGCGUGCUGCGGGUUCCGGCCGUUAAACGACCUUCAUAACCCAAGGUUGACCUCGGAUCAGGUAGGAAGACCCGCUGAACUUAAGC
rnacentral:misc_RNA from 1 species